GGUUGUGGCUCAGAGGUAGAGCACUUGCCUAGCAUGUGUGAAGCACUGGGUUCGAUUCUCAGAACCA
rnacentral:tRNA from 1 species